rnacentral:rRNA from 1 species
UACGGAGGGUGCGAGCGUUGUCCGGAAUCACUGGGCGUAAAGGGCGCGUAGGCGGCCUGAUAAGUAGGGGGUGAAAUCCUGCGGCUUAACCGCAGGGCUGCCUUCUAGACUGUCAGGCUAGAGCACAGUAGAGGCAGGUGGAAUUCCCGGUGUAGCGGUGGAAUGCGUAGAGAUCGGGAAGAACAUCAGUGGCGAAGGCGGCCUGCUGGACCUUUUCUGACGCUGAGGCACGAAAGCUAGGGGAGCAAACGGG